GGCCACUUUCAUUUAAGACGGAAACCGUCUAAAAUUUAACUAAACUGCUAUAAUUGUGAAGAUUUCAGUAAUUAAGCAUGACUUUAUGAUGCUAGUACACGAUAUAUGUACAUUGUAUUGUCAAAAACAGCACAUAUUUAUGUAGCAGAAGCAUUCUACUUUCCAAAAAAUAGCUAAAAGAUUACAUUUUCACAAUUUUGCAAAACUGCUUAAUUUUGGGGCCAAAAAGGGGUCUUACUGAACCUACUCCUUUG
rnacentral:lncRNA from 1 species